rnacentral:rRNA from 1 species
GAUGAACGCUGGCGGCGUGCUUAACACAUGCAAGUCGAACGGGAAACCUUUUAUUGAAGCUUCGGCAGAUUUAGAUUGUUUCUAGUGGCGGACGGGUGAGUAACGCGUGGGUAACCUGCCUUAUACAGGGGGAUAACAGUCAGAAAUGACUGCUAAUACCGCAUAAGCGCACAGGACCGCAUGGUCCGGUGUGAAAAACUCCGGUGGUAUAAGAUGGACCCGCGUUGGAUUAGCUAGUUGGUGAGGUAACGGCCCACCAAGGCGACGAUCCAUAGCCGGCCUGAGAGGGUGAACGGCCACAUUGGGACUGAGACACGGCCCAGACUCCUACGGGAGGCAGCAGUGGGGAAUAUUGCACAAUGGGGGAAACCCUGAUGCAGCGACGCCGCGUGAAGGAAGAAGUAUCUCGGUAUGUAAACUUCUAUCAGCAGGGAAGAAAAUGACGGUACCUGACUAAGAAGCCCCGGC